rnacentral:rRNA from 1 species
AUUGAACGCUGGCGGCAGGCUUAACACAUGCAAGUCGAGCGGGGUGAUGGUGCUUGCACUAUCACUUAGCGGCGGACGGGUGAGUAAUGCUUAGGAAUCUGCCUAUUAGUGGGGGACAACAUCUCGAAAGGGAUGCUAAUACCGCAUACGUCCUACGGGAGAAAGCAGGGGAUCACUUGUGACCUUGCGCUAAUAGAUGAGCCUAAGUCGGAUUAGCUAGUUGGUGGGGUAAAGGCCUACCAAGGCGACGAUCUGUAGCGGGUCUGAGAGGAUGAUCCGCCACCCUGGGACUGAGACACGGCCCAGACUCCUACGGGAGGCAGCAGUGGGGAAUAUUGGACAAUGGGGGGAACCCUGAUCCAGCCAUGCCGCGUGUGUGAAGAAGGCCUUAUGGUUGUAAAGCACUUUAAGCGAGGAGGAGGCUCUUUUGGUUAAUACCCAGAAUGAGUGGACGUUACUCGCAGAAUAAGCACCGGCUAACUCUGUGCCAGCAGCCGCCGCCG